rnacentral:tRNA from 1 species
AGCCCCUUCGUCUAGUGGUCAAGGAUCGAUGCCUUUGGAGCAUCAGACCCAGGUUCGAAUCCUGGAGGGGCUA